UACAGAGGUCCCAAGCGUUGUUCGGAUUUACUGGGCGUAAAGGGUGCGUAGGUGGUUGGAUAAGUCUGAUGUGAGAUCUCCGAGCUUAACUCGGAAACGGCAUUGGAAACUAUUCGACUAGAGAGUUGGAGGGGGGACUGGAAUACUUGGUGUAGCAGUGAAAUGCGUAGAUAUCAAGUGGAACACCAGUGGCGAAGGCGAGUCCCUGGACAACUUCUGACACUGUGGCACGAAAGCUAGGGGAGCAAACAGG
rnacentral:rRNA from 1 species